GCCCAAUAACUAGCCCCUUCAAACAACUUCAACCCCAACCCCCUAUAAUAACCCCUAAAUACCCCCGUAUUUAAAUUAAACAAACCAUUUUUCCCCCUUAGUAUAGGCGAUAGAAAAGGAACUAAGGCGCAAUAGAGAAAGUACCGCAAGGGACUGCUGAAAGAGAAGUGAAACAACCCAGUAUAAGCCUGAAAAAGCAGAGAUUAAGCCUCGUACCUUUUGCAUCAUGAUUUAGCAAGUGUCCCCCAAGCAAAGAGUACUUUAGUUUGGCACCCCGAAACUACGUGAGCUACUCCAAGACAGCCUAGCAAUAGGGCCUACCCGUCUCUGUGGCAAAAGAGUGGGGAGAGCUUUGAGUAGAGGUGACAAGCCUACCGAACCUAGUUAUAGCUGGUUGUCCAAGAAAUGAAUAGAAGUUCAGCCUCUUGGCUUCUCUUUUCACCCUAGACUUACCCCUAUUGAUGCAAUAAAGAACCCAAGAGAGUUAGUCAAAGGGGGUACAGCCCCUUUGAAUCAAGACACAACUUUUACAGGAGGGU
rnacentral:rRNA from 1 species